CGAAUAAUAGAAUAACUGAGAUUAGGGUUUUGAGAAAACUUGUUUUCAACUAUACUAGAAAUAGCCUGUAACAGGUAUUCAAGAAGCAGAUGAUUGCGCGGAUUACGAAAAAGAAACCGAGGAGAUGAAAGAGAUGAACAGAGUUGCAUUAAUUUGGCACACGUAACGAAACUUAGGUUUUCAACAAAUGGUGCAAUAUUGCAUAUGGUCAACAAUAUAACAGGAGAUAAACUGCUAAACGGAGAUCUCUUCACUGCUGAAAUAUGAAAGCUAGACUGGAAGGCGUAAGUAAUAAAAUUAAAAUAAACAAUUAAUCGUGAAUCUUACGAUAAUCAAAAACUCUGCAUAAGACAUUGGUGGGACUGAGAACCCAAGGGAAGACAUCAAUGAUUGUGCAUUCAUACAG